GCAAACUUGGUCAUUUAGAGGAAGUAAAAGUCGUAACAAGGUCUCCGUUGGUGAACCAGCGGAGGGAUCAUUACCGAGUUUACAACUCCCAAACCCCUGUGAACAUACCAUUUGUUGCCUCGGCGGUGCCCGCUCCGGCGGCCCGCCAGAGGACCCAAACUCUUGUUUUUAUACAGUAUCUUCUGAGUAAAUGAUUAAAUAAAUCAAAACUUUCAACAACGGAUCUCUUGGUUCUGGCAUCGAUGAAGAACGCAGC
rnacentral:misc_RNA from 1 species